CAUCAUUCCACUCAUCAACCUAAACAUUCACAUCUUUACUAGAUAAAUUCUCGGUUCUAUUUUUUUGUGUACAAUACAACGUAGAUCUCACCACACUCUAUUAGAAUUUAUCUUUAAGUCUCAUAAGUCUCAUUGGAAUUCACUUGUCACGUGAACAUCUGACGAUUCUCUCCCCUUUAUCCAACCAAAAUAUUUACACAGACUGUUAACCUGUCACAAUCUCAUUUAUAGCUUCUUACAACAGGUGGAAAAAAAAUACGGUGGAAAAAUUAAAUAAUUUUACAUAAUCGUUCAGUAUAUAAUAAUGAGUUAUGCGUGCUAGGGAAUAAUCAAUAAAACGUAUGGUAAAGUUCAGAUUGAAAUUCAACCAAGAUUUCAUCACUUCAAUCCACUUAUAAAAUCUCUAAUUCCCAAGUUUGAUCUUUAUUGGUCUAGAGAGAACCGCUAAAAGAGUCUAAAUGUAUCGCAAAAAAUAUAUAGAUAUAUAUAGCAGACACAAUAUAGUGCAAUAGUCUACAUUUUAGGGAAAAUUCGACAACAAAUAAUUCUUAUUGUCAACGGGGAAUUCGGAGGAAAUAAACGCACUUACUCUUCCCCCUUCUCCUCUUCCCAUAAACUGUCAACCUUUUCUCAAGGUGUAUCUGUACAUUUUAUUUUUAACGUGUAUUUAAUACAUUAUUUUAUGAAUUCGUAGGUAUAUUAUAACAUGAUAAAAUGAAAUAAAUAAAUUCAAGCGGAGGUUUAAGAUAAGUACAGCGCACACACAAUAUUUAAGGGGUUACGGUAUAGGCA